rnacentral:rRNA from 1 species
UAGUCCAUGCCGUAAACGAUGAAUGCUACGUGUUGGAGGGUUUCCGCCCUUCAGUGCCGCAGCUAACGCAUUAAGCAUUCCGCCUGGGGAGUACGACCGCAAGGUUGAAACUCAAAGGAAUUGACGGGGGCCCGCACAAGCGGUGGAGCAUGUGGUUUAAUUCGAAGCAACGCGAAGAACCUUACCAGGUCUUGACAUCUUUUGAUCACCUGAGAGAUCAGGUUUCCCCUUCGGGGGCAAAAAUGACAGGUGGUGCAUGGUUGUCGUCAGCUCGUGUCGUGAGAUGUUGGGUUAAGUCCCGCAACGAGCGCAACCCUUAUGACUAGUUGCCAGCAUUUAGUUGGGCACUCUAGUAAGACUGCCGGUGACAAACCGGAGGAAGGUGGGGAUGACGUCAAAUCAUCAUGCCCCUUAUGACCUGGGCUACACACGUGCUACAAUGGAUGGUACAACGAGUUGCGAGACCGCGAGGUCAAGCUAAUCUCUUAAAGCCAUUCUCAGUUCGGACUGUAGGCUGCAACUCGCCUACACGAAGUCGGAAUCGCUAGUAAUCGCGGAUCAGCACGCCGCGGUGGAAUACGUUCCCCGGGCCUUGUACACACCGCCCGUCACACCAUGAGAGUUUUGUAACACCCGAAGCCCGGUGGCGUAACCCCUUU